CCACACACACACACACACACACACACACACCCACACGCACACACACACACACACACACAGUUUACUCUUGGUGAUCUGAGUGGAGCUGAUAUCUGAUGGUAGAUCUCGUCUUCAGCGCUCACUUAUCGGCUCCUUCAUGUAGGGGUCACACUAUCAGCAGAACACCUCUUAUUUAUAGCACACACACUCACACACACUCACACACGCACGGGUUAGGGUUAGGGUUACAUAACGGUGACCUACUAAAGCAGAAACGCGGCACGUGAGCUGCAAGAGAUGAAGAUGAACUCGGCAUGCCAUCCUUACACACACACACACACACACCUCCCCCGACUCGCUCUGACAUCACUGCAGGCCUCAAGGCUGCUCUCAUCAGCCGGUUGCCAGGCAACCAUUUUCAUCCACAGCCACAACCAACGCACAUUUAAUCUGAGAGGCAAAAAGACGAGCGAUAAAAACAAAAGAAGAAAAGGCUCAGAAACUUCAUCUACCGGAGUGACUCGGGGCAGAAACAUGGUGGGAAGGGAGCGACAGAGCGAUGGAGGAGCGACAGAGCGAUGGAGGAGAGCGGGCUGAUGAGAGCUUUGAGGCCUGCAGUGAUGUCAGAGCGGCUCGGUGUGAAAGCAGCCGCGAUCCGUGCGUCUCUGUCGCCAUCUGUUUGACGGUUCACGGAUCCGUCUCUCCCUCUGCACAUGACUCCCCCCGCCCCCUUACAACCUCAUCCUGCUGCCUGGCAACCCUUGCCACGGCAACGUGAAGCCCCACAGCACAGGGGCAGAUAAUCUGAGACCCCCGCGGCAUCCCGGAGAGCGAAAUGACACGACAAACUGGAUCCAAAAAUACGAGAUUACAGGCAGAGGAACGGACUGGGAGGAUGAGCUGAAAACACGGACCGGUUUGGUCCGAAUGAGAUUCACCACAGAGAGAACAGAACUUACAGCACAGUGGAGCAUCUGGACAUGAAGAACGUGAAGAAACGCGCCGAGCAGCUGCUGGGACCUACCUGUGGAGGUGGGACACACUGGAGAGCAUGAAGGAAGAAGAAGAAGUGAAGGGACAACAGGACACUGGGGGAAAUGAAGAUGAGGAGACAGGAGCUGAAAAUGAGUAAAAGGAGGAAACGUCAACAGACACAAACAGGAACAUCAGAGGAUGGAAACAUGAAGGAGGACAAACAUGAUCCCAGAGAACCUGAGCGCUAGCAUCCCCUUUUCUCUCAGCAAUGGGAUUGUUCAUUCAAAAUGGAUGUGAAACGUGAAUUAUUGAUGGAGCUUUUUAUUCCUGUCUCACAUGCUGGGGGUGAGGGGAGUUAAAACCACAAACUGAGCUGAUUCAUCAUCAUGUCUCCACAUUUACUCCAGACUGGAAGCCUGAAUCCCCCCAAAAGAUCUCUAAAGCAUCUUCAGAAAACCCAGAGGAUUAUGGAUCAGAACCAUUUAAAAAGAUCAACAGGAAGAAACGUUUACUUUUCUAAAUAAACCAAGUUCAACAUGUCAAUUUUAGCUGUAUUUGCUUCAUUCAUAACAAAUAGUUGAUAAAGAAAAGUGACAUUUUAAUUCAACCCAAAUUUCAUCUCAUCGAUUCAUCAGCAGUAAAUUCCAGUUACAGCCUCUAAUCUGUAUGGAGCUCUAUAAGUGACACUAUCAAAAUAAAUCCUGUGAAUGUUUUAAUGUGAGAAUAAAUACUUAAAAUUUAAACCAAACACA